ensembl:misc_RNA 7SK 7SK RNA
GGAUGUGAGGAUGAUCUGGCUGCGACAUCUGUCACCCCAUUGAUUUCCAGGGUUGAUUUGACUGAUCUGGCUGGCUAGGCAGGUGUCCCCUUCCUCCCUCACCGCUCCAUGUGCGUCCCUCCCGAAACUGCGUGCUCGGUCGAAGAGGACGACCUUCCCCGAAUAGAGGAGGACCGGUCUUCGGUCAAGGGUAUAUGAGUAGCUGUGCUCUGCUGCUAGAACCUCCAAACAAGCUCUCAAGAAUAUUGAGAAUCACUCUGCCCUCAAGAUCCAGCUAUACCACUUCUGGGCAUGAACCUAAAGGAUUCUCUGUCC